AUGAACGCUGGCGGCGUGCCUAACACAUGCAAGUCGAGCGAGAAAUCUUAGAAUGAAACUUCGGUGGAAUGAAGAGAUGGAAAGCGGCGGACGGGUGAGUAACGCGUAGGCAACCUGCCCUUUGCAGAGGGAUAGCCAUUGGAAACGAUGAUUAAAACCUCAUAAAACCAAGACGUCACAUGGCGAUUUGGUCAAAGAUUUAUCGGCAAAGGAUGGGCCUGCGUCUGAUUAGCUAGUUGGUGGGGUAACGGCCUACCAAGGCGACGAUCAGUAGCCGACCUGAGAGGGUGAUCGGCCACAUUGGAACUGAGACACGGUCCAAACUCCUACGGGAGGCAGCAGUGGGGAAUAUUGCACAAUGGGCGAAAGCCUGAUGCAGCAACGCCGCGUGAGCGAAGAAGGUCUUCGGAUUGUAAAGCUCUGUCCUAAGGGAAGAAGAAAGUGACGGUACCUUAGGAGGAAGCCCCGGCUAACUACGUGCCAGCAGCCGCGGUAAUACGUAGGGGGCAAGCGUUAUCCGGAAUUAUUGGGCGUAAAGAGUGCGUAGGUGGUUACCUAAGCGCGGGGUGAAAGGCAAUGGCUUAACCAUUGUUAGCCCUGCGAACUGGGCUACUUGAGUGCAGGAGAGGAAAGCGGAAUUCCUAGUGUAGCGGUGAAAUGCGUAGAUAUUAGGAGGAACACCAGUGGCGAAGGCGGCUUUCUGGACUGUAACUGACACUGAGGCACGAAAGUGUGGGGAGCAAACAGGAUUAGAUACCCUGGUAGUCCACACCGUAAACGAUGAGCACUAGGUGUCGGGGCCGCAAGGUUUCGGUGCCGGAGUUAACGCAUUAAGUGCUCCGCCUGGGGAGUACGUACGCAAGUAUGAAACUCAAAGGAAUUGACGGGGACCCGCACAAGCAGCGGAGCAUGUGGUUUAAUUCGAAGCAACGCGAAGAACCUUACCAGGACUUGACAUCCCUCUGACCGGCUUUUAAUCGAGCCUUUCCUUCGGGACAGAGGAGACAGGUGGUGCAUGGUUGUCGUCAGCUCGUGUCGUGAGAUGUUGGGUUAAGUCCCGCAACGAGCGCAACCCUUGUCAUUAGUUGCCAGCAGUAAGAUGGGCACUCUAAUGAGACUGCCGGGGACAACUCGGAGGAAGGUGGGGAUGACGUCAAAUCAUCAUGCCCCUUAUGUUCUGGGCUACACACGUGCUACAAUGGUCGGUACAAAGAGCAGCGAAGUCGUGAGGCGGAGCAAAUCUCAAAAACCGAUCCCAGUUCGGACUGUAGUCUGCAACCCGACUACACGAAGCUGGAAUCGCUAGUAAUCGCGAAUCAGAAUGUCGCGGUGAAUACGUUCCCGGGUCUUGUACACACCGCCCGUCACACCAUGGGAGUCGGAAAUGCCCGAAGCCAGUGACCCAACCGCAAGGAGGGAGCUGUCGAAGGUGGAGCCGAUAACUGGGGUG
rnacentral:rRNA from 1 species